ACGCUCGACACCUACGGGAGGGCAGCAGUGAGGAAUAUUGGUCAAUGGGCGCAGGCCUGAACCAGCCAAGUAGCGUGAAGGAUGACUGCCCUAUGGGUUGUAAACUUCUUUUAUAUGGGAAUAAAGUUUUCCACGUGUGGAAUUUUGUAUGUACCAUAUGAAUAAGGAUCGGCUAACUCCGUGCCAGCAGCCGCGGUAAUCUGAGCGGGCUGGCAAGGC
rnacentral:rRNA from 1 species